rnacentral:rRNA from 1 species
AGUUUUGGGGCAUCUUUACUCAUGCAGUCGAACGGCUGCACUUAGAAACUUGGCUCUCUUGGUGGCGAGUGGGGGAGGGGUGUAUAAUAUGUCGGAACUGGCCCUGUAACGGGGGAUAACUCCUCGAAAGAGUGGCUAAUACCGCAUACGCCCUACGGGGGAAGGGGGGGGAUCGCAAGACCUCUCACUAUUGGACCGACCGAUAUCCCAUUAGCUAGUUGGUGGGGUAAAGGCUCACCAAGGUCACGAUCCGUAGCUGGUUUGAGAGGACGACCAGCCACACUGGGACUGAGACACCUGACACACUCCUACGACUCCUACCGGAGGGGAAUUUUGGACAAUGGGGGAAACCCUGAUCCAGCCAUCCCGCGUGUAUGAUGAAAGCCUUCGGGCUUUCAGUACUUUUGGUCUGUUGAAAAGGAAUCCCCUAAUACGGGAUGCUGCUGACGGUAUCUGACGAAUACUCACCGGCUAACUACGUGCCACUACCCGCGGUAAUACGUAGGGUGCAAGCGUUAAUCGGAAUUACUGGGAAUUAUUGCGUGUGUAGGCGGUUCGGAAAGUUUCUGUGAAAUCCCAGGGCUCCCCUUGGAACUGCAUUUUUAACUGCCGAGCUUGGUAUAUCUGAGUGGGGUAGAAUUCCACGUGUUUCAGUGUGUAUGCGUAGAUAUGUGGAGGAAUACCGAUGAACGAACAGUGGCCCCCUGCGACUAAUACUGACUGCUCACACACACUGAGCGUGCGAAAGCAAACAGGAUUAGAUACGCCUGAGUAUACCCACGCCCGUACCACGACCGUCAAACUAAACUUGUGCUGAACUGUUAGGACGUUAUUCCGCCCCAUUCUAACGCUGUGAAUUAAGACCGUCCAUGGCGCAUCUACCGUGCGGCUAGUAUUGAACACCUCAAGACGUAUCGUACAGAGGUACCCUGCCAACAAGGCCGCCUGGGUAAUGCAAUGCCUGGGGUAGUUUAAGUC